rnacentral:rRNA from 1 species
GACUACAGGGGUAUCUAAUCCUGUUUGAUCCCCACACUUUCGCACCUCAGCGUCAGUCAUCGGCCAGGAGCUUGCCUUCGCCAUUGGUAUUCUUCCUGAUCUCUACAGAUUCCACCCCUACACCAGGAAUUCUAGCUCCCUCUCCGUCACUCAAGCCUCGCAGUUCUCAACGCAAUCCCACGGUUAAGCCGUGGACUUUCACGCCAAGCUUACAAGGCCGCCUACAUGCCCUUUACGCCCAGUAAUUCCGAACAACGCUUGCCCCCUACGUGUUACCGCGGCUGCUGGCACGUAGUUAGCCGGGGCUUAUUCGUCGGUUCAUGUCAUCCCACGGGCAUUCCCUCCCAUGGUUAUUCUUCCCCAACAAAAGAACUUUACAACCUUUCGGCCUUCUUCAUCCACGCGGCGUCGCUCCGUCAGACUUUCGUCCAUUGCGGAAUAUUCCUCACUGCAGCCACCCGUAGG